rnacentral:rRNA from 1 species
CCUACGGGUGGCAGCAGUGGGGAAUAUUGCGCAAUGGGCGAAAGCCUGACGCAGCGACGCCGCGUGAGGGAUGAAGGUCUUCGGAUCGUUAACCUCCGUCAGCAGGGAAGAACGGUCACUGUGCUAAUCAGCAGUGAAUUGACGGUACCUGCAAAGGAAGCACCGGCUAACUCCGUGCCAGCAGCCGAGGUAAUACGGAGGGUGCGUGCGUUAAUCGGAAUUACUGGGCGGAAAGCGCUCGUAGGCGGUAUGUCAAGUCAAGGGUGAAAUCCCCGCGCUCAACGUGGGAACUGCCUUUGAAACUGGCAGACUGGAGUGUGUGAGAGGAAAGUGGAAUUCCAGGUGUAGGAGUGAAAUCCGUAGAUAUCUGGAGGAACAUCAGUGGCGAAGGCGACUAUCUGGCACAUAACUGACGCUGAGGAGCGAAAGCGUGGGUAGCAAACAGGAUUAGAUACCCCAGUAGUC